AUGGCCUGCACUCUUGUCCUCCUCAUGCUCCUAUACUACUCUGCAGGUUCCCUGCCCCAACCUGUGCUAAUCCAGCUGACCUCCUCUGCACUGCUGGGAACAAUGGUCAGACUCACCUGCACCCUGAGCAGUGGUUUCUGUGUUGGCAGCUACUACCUCAGCUGGUGCCAAGAGAAGCCAGGGAGUCCUUCCAGGUUUCUCUUAUACUAUUACUCAGACUCAAUUUCACGGUUGGGAUCUGGAGGUCCCCAACCACUUCUCUGGCUCCAAAUAUACCUCAGCAACUGCUGGGCUUCUGCUUAUCUCUGGGCUGCAGCCAGAGGAUGAGGCUGACUAUUACUGUGUUAGAGCUCGGUGCCGGGCCCAGUCUGUGCUGACUCAACCUCCCUCUGUGUCUGGGACCCUGGGCCCGAGGGUUACCAUCUCCUGCACCGGAAGCAGCUCCAACAUUGGGGUGAUGAAUACGUGUCCUGCUUCCAACACCUUCCAGGCAAAGCCCCCAAAACCAUCAUUUAAGCUGACACCCUUCUUCACCCCAACAAUGGAGACAGCACUGGAGCAGUGGAGACAGCUGGAGACAGACCUCAGUCAGGAGCCACCACAGGGGAUUCUGAGCUCAGUGUGGACAUGA